rnacentral:rRNA from 1 species
UACAGAGGUCUCAAGCGUUGUUCGGAAUCACUGGGCGUAAAGGGUGCGUAGGCGGGUUUUUAAGUCAGGGGUGAAAUCCUGGAGCUCAACUCCAGAACUGCCUUUGAUACUGAAGAUCUUGAGUCCGGGAGAGGUGAGUGGAACUGCGAGUGUAGAGGUGAAAUUCGUAGAUAUUCGCAAGAACACCAGUGGCGAAGGCGGCUCACUGGCCCGGUACUGACGCUGAGGCACGAAAGCGUGGGGAGCAAACAGG